GAAAUGCGAUAAGUAAUGUGAAUUGCAGAAUUCAGUGAAUCAUCGAAUCUUUGAACGCACCUUGCGCUCCUUGGUAUUCCGAGGAGCAUGCCUGUUUGAGUGUCAUUAAAUUCUCAACCUUUUCAGCUUUUACAAGUUGGAUUGGCUUGGAUGUGGAGGUUUUUGCAGGCUUCUCAGAAGUCAGCUCCUCUUAAAUGCAUUAGCAGAACCUUUGUGGACCAGCUUUGGUGUGAUAAUUAUCUACGCCAUGGUUGUGAAGCAGCUUUUAUAUGGGGUUCAGCUUCUAAUAGUCCAUUGACUUGGACAAUUUCUGACAUUUUGACCUCAAAUCAGGUAGGACUACCCGCUGAACUUAA
rnacentral:misc_RNA from 1 species